GUUGACCUCGGAUCAGGUAGGAAUACCCGCUGAACUUAAGCAUAUCAAUAAGCGGAGGAAAAGAAACCAACAGGGAUUCCCCUAGUAACGGCGAGUGAAGCGGGAACAGCUCAAAUUUGAAAUCUGGCCCUUGGGUCCGAGUUGUAAUUUGCAGAGGAUGCUUUUGGUGCGGUGCCUUCCGAGUUCCCUGGAACGGGACGCCUUAGAGGGUGAGAGCCCCGUACGGUUGGACACCAAGCCUAUGUAAAGCUCCUUCGACGAGUCGAGUAGUUUGGGAAUGCUGCUCAAAAUGGGAGGUAUAUUUCUUCUAAAGCUAAAUAUUGGCCAGAGACCGAUAGCGCACAAGUAGAGUGAUCGAAAGAUGAAAAGCACUUUGAAAAGAGGGUUAAAUAGCACGUGAAAUUGUUGAAAGGGAAGGAUUUAUGACCAGACUUUUUCUAGGGGGAUCAUCCGGUGUUCUCACCGGUGCACUUCCCCUAGUUGAGGCCAGCAUCGGUUUCUGUCGGGGGAUAAAAGCUUCAGGAAUGUGGCUCCCUCCGGGGAGUGUUAUAGCCUGUUGCAUAAUACCCUGACGGGGACCGAGGUUCGCGCAUUGCAAGGAUGCUGGCGUAAUGGUUAUUAAUCACCCGUCUUGAAACACGGACCAAGGAGUCGAACAUUUGUGCGAGUGUUUGGGUGUUAAACCCUCACGCGUAAUGAAAGUGAACGGAGGUGAGAGCCUUUCGGGGUGCAUCAUCGACCGAUCCUGAUGUCUUCGGAUGGAUUUGAGUAAGAGCAUUAAUGUUCGGACCCGAAAGAUGGUGAACUAUGCGUGGAUAGGGUGAAGCCAGAGGAAACUCUGGUGGAGGCUCGCAGCGGUUCUGACGUGCAAAUCGAUCGUCAAAUCUGCGCAUGGGGGCGAAAGACUAAUCGAACCAUCUAGUAGCUGGUUACCGCCGAAGU
rnacentral:rRNA from 2 species